GGCAGACGGGUGAGUAACAUGUGGGUAUCUACCCUUUGGCCUGGAAUAACACGAGGAAACUUGUGCUAAUACUGGAUAAGUCUUUACGGAGAAAGCUUUAUGCACCAUUGGAUGAGCCUGCACUUGAUUAGUUUGUUGGUGGGGUAAUGGCCUACCAAGACUGUGAUCAAUAGCUGAUUUGAGAGGAUGAUCAGCCACAUUGGGACUGAGACACGGCCCAAACUCCUACGGGAGGCAGCAGUGGGGAAUCUUGCACAAUGGAGGAAACUCUGAUGCAGCGAUGCCGCGUGAGUGAAGAAGGCCCUUGGGUUGUAAAGCUCUUUCGUCGGGGAAGAAAAUGACUGUACCCGAAUAAGAAGGUCCGGCUAACUUCGUGCCAGCAGCCGCGGUAAUACGAAGGGACCUAGCGUAGUUCGGAAUUACUGGGCUUAAAGAGUUCGUAGGUGGUUGAAAAAGUUGGUGGUGAAAUCCCAGAGCUUAACUCUGGAACUGCCAUCAAAACUUUUCAGCUAGAGUAUGAUAGAGGAAAGCAGAAUUUCUAGUGUAGAGGUGAAAUUCGUAGAUAUUAGAAAGAAUACCAAUUGCGAAGGCAGCUUUCUGGAUCAUUACUGACACUGAGGAACGAAGCAUGGGUAGCGAAGAGGAUUAGAUACCCUCGUAGUCCAUGCCGUAAACGAUGUGUGUUAGACGUUGGAAAUUUAUUUUCAGUGUCGCAGCGAAAGCGAUAAACACAC
rnacentral:rRNA from 1 species